UACUUUUAUAACAAUUCAACAGUUCUAUUAUUUCCUCUGGAAUAUCUUUUCAAAUACCUACGACGAUCCUUUGCAAGUAGUCAAAUAAGCGCCACCCGAAUAUGGGUUACGCGGCCCGACCUUUGCCGACACCCGAAUACAGCCGCUGCGCCUAUAUGAUGAGGACUAAAUAGAACGGACAGCAUCCUACUUUCCAAACCUUGCAGAGCUAAUACAAUAAUACCAACGGGCUGUCGUUCUCGAAGAAACUGAGAGAAUGUCAAAUGUUUUUAUAAAUAUAAAAUAUUAAUUAAAUGAUAUUCCAGUGGAUUAAAUAUA